rnacentral:tRNA from 1 species
GUGGGUAUAGCUCAGUGGUAGAGCACAUGCUUAGCAUACACAAGGUCCUGGGUUCAAUCCCCAGUACCUCCU